rnacentral:lncRNA from 1 species
AAAAAGUGAACCAAAACAAACAGCUGAUUGCAAGCCAUUUCUGUACAUCACAGGGCGCCUCCUCAGCUCUGGUGGUCUUCCUGUUACCUGAUGAGGAAGGAAGCAGAGGUUUUCUCAUCCACCUUUUGGUAUGUCGAUUUUCCUUCAUUCUUCGCUGCCAACUCUUCCUUUGGCUGUAACUUUUUUCUAUCAAUCUCAACUGCCACGUGUGGCUUCAUCAUUCUUCCUCACUGCUCCUAGACACAUGUUUAGGGUUUAUGGUUUAGGGUUUGUGUGUCAGCUUGCUACGAAUGAAAGCAGAAAGGAGAUUAAGAAUUAUCAAGAAAAGCUAGCUAGCUAGCCCCUGAUUUCUUGUGAUUUUGCUUGUCUUUGAAAC